rnacentral:rRNA from 1 species
ACUCCUACGGGAGGCAGCAGUGGGGAAUCUUGGACAAUGGGCGCAAGCCUGAUCCAGCCAUGCCGCGUGAGUGAUGAAGGCCCUAGGGUCGUAAAGCUCUUUCGCCAGAGAUGAUAAUGACAGUAUCUGGUAAAGAAACCCCGGCUAACUCCGUGCCAGCAGCCGCGGUAAUACGGAGGGGUUAGCGUUGUUCGGAAUUACUGGGCGUAAAGCGUACGUAGGCGGAUUAGUUAGUCAGAGGUGAAAUCCCAGGGCUCAACCCUGGAACUGCCUUUGAUACUGCUAGUCUUGAGUUCGAGAGAGGUGAGUGGAAUUCCGAGUGUAGAGGUGAAAUUCGUAGAUAUUCGGAGGAACACCAGUGGCGAAGGCGGCUCACUGGCUCGAUACUGACGCUGAGGUACGAAAGUGUGGGGAGCAAACAGGAUUAGAUACCCUGGUAGCGACUGA